UACGAAGGGGGCUAGCGUUGCUCGGAAUCACUGGGCGUAAAGGGUGCGUAGGCGGGUUUUUAAGUCAGAGGUGAAAUCCUGGAGCUCAACUCCAGAACUGCCUUUGAUACUGAAAGUCUUGAGUAUGGGAGAGGUGAGUGGAACUGCGAGUGUAGAGGUGAAAUUCGUAGAUAUUGGGAAGAACACCGGUGGCGAAGGCGGCGACCUGGGACAAUACUGACGCUGAGGUGCGAAAGCGUGGGGAGCAAACAGG
rnacentral:rRNA from 1 species